CCUCGCUCCCAUCAUCAUCAUCAUCAUCAUCAUCAUCCUUCAGCCUCCACCGCUAUGAUGCUGCAUCUCAUCCCACCGGCUCUAAUAAUGAGUUUUAGUGUUUUAGUUAAGGGACAAGCGGAGGACUUCAGACUGACCGACAGAGCCUAUGUGAACUUACAGAAGCAGGAUCUAGUCAUGAUGGGCAGUGUCCUCGCAGUCCUCCUGGUGCUGAUGAUUAUCAUGGCUGUGUGUGUCUACAAACCGCUGUCCCGUCGGUGAAAACUGUCCGAGGAGAGGAGAGAGGAGGGAGACAAAGCUGCUGCUGCUGCCCGAGGACCAGGGAGCUCUGCCCCGGUGUCUGAACACCUCCUGACGGGGGACAGACGAGCUCUGCUACAGCUACAUACAACUGCAAACCCCCAGACUGCACAAUUAUUUAUAACCUGGGGUUUCAUUUGUCACGUGUGUUAUGUUUAUUUAUUUAUUUAUUUAUUUAAUGAGGUUGAUUACUCCUAAUAAUCUUGGCUGUAAGCCUCAAUGUGUUAUUUGAGUUUUGUCAUUUAUUUGGACUUCAUGUGUCUUAUUGGCUCUUCUCAGGGGGAAUGUGGUUAUGCAACCAUUGGAAACAUUUCAGAGGAACUGCAAAGUGAGACAGUUUUCAUUGCUUAAACAUUUAGUUGUUUUUCCCUGUAUUUGUAAAUCUGUAAACUGUAUUUGUUUGUUAUUUUAUUAUUUAUUUGAUUCAAGUUUGAAACCUAAAGGAAAUAUUGUAAAUAGCUGUGUUUUGUUUCCUUUUUAAAGGCCAACUUUUUUGUCUUAUUGGCUUAUUUUUUCACAGGAAAAUGUGUUACGGAGUCCAAAAGUUGGAUUUAAUAAGUGAGGGAGAUGCCUUUGAUCUAUAGUGGAAAUAAUGUGGAUGGUUUCUCAUGAUGAAAUCAAAGUGAUACCAAGAAAGUACUGGAAUAAACCUGCAGGUUAAUUUCAUCAUUUUGUUGUGUGGUGAAUCAGUCAGAUGAACGUGGAAGAUUUCCUGCUUUGUACAUGAUGUUGUGAUACACACAAUAUAAUUAGAUGGAGGCAGUCAGACUUAAUUUAGAAAGAUCGUCAUUGAAACGGACUUCCAAAAUCAUAAUUAACAUCAAUAAAUAACAUCUAUAUUUAGAGCUGAUGCCCGCAUGGCAGCUUUGUAUCCUGCACAAUCCACUUGUUCAACAGUGCACGUUCAUUAUGUGCAACAAUCGGAGUUUAGCAGCUGGCUAAAUGCAGAUAAAUCGUGCAAACCUGACGUGCACGAGGUGUUUUUGUAAAGAAAUCACACAAACAAAGUCCUGGUUAAUUCUCAUGGAAAUAAAGUGCUUUUAUUUUAGAAAGAACAUUUUCAAACAGACAUUUUCUUAAAAUUUUAACAUAUUAAAAAAAAAAAAACUUUGCAGCUGGAACGGUGCAUUACAAAGAUCUGCAUUAAUUUAACCCAAGCUAGCCUCUUUUGUUUUGUUUGUUUUUUAAGCUGACUGUUCAGUGAGUUUGGAAACUUGAGCGUUAUAUAUAUAUUUGUCAGCCGAAGCCCCUGAAAGUCAAACACGGCGACGCACAGCGACCUUUGAUGAGUGGUUUGUUGUCAGUGAAUAAACUAUAGUGGUUAAUGCAUGUAUCUCAGCAUCACCCUAAUACAACUCAAACUUCUUUACCUGCAAGUUACAAAAUUCUUUUUUUUUUUUUUUUUUUACAAAAUCUGUUCAAAAAGUUUAGUCUGAGUGGCACCACAUGAAUUUGUCACUACCUAUUGCCCGGACGAAGCAAUCCCUUGGCACAUGCUGAAGAAACUAAUCCUACGUAUGGCGGGCAUGCUCGAUCUUUGAGUCUGUGCUGUCUUUUCUUCUGCUCGGAGGUCUAGAGUUGUUCGUGGCUACAAAAGGCUGACGGGUAGCCAGCAUCGGUUGCGUGGCUGCUCCUUAACUGCAUGACGGCUGUAAAUCCACAGAUACCCUGGUCUCUAACUAUUGCAUUUAUGAUGUGAGGUGAUGACUGAAGUUUCUCAGCGACAGUUAAUCAAAAUCUUUGACACCUUUUCUCACCAUGAAAUCAGAGAAAAUGUUACGAAACAAUUAGGCAAGUAAAAGUUAAACCCCUAUCCUUGUUGCAGCGAAGAUAUUAUGCUACCAUGCAGCUCAUUUUUAGCUUUGUCUCACAGCAACAUGCUUUUGUUUUCCCAUCUGUAGAGUCUAUGUCCACAAAAUAAAGAAAACUUGUGACUCAAUGAAGCAAACUUUCUGAAUUAAUAUCAAUAUGGCAUAGAGUGAUUUGCACCAAAGAAAUAUUCACCAGGUUACAAUUUCCGAUUAAUCGGUCACGAUUAAUAAACUAAUUUCAAAGCGAAGAGAAAUUGUGGAACCCUGAGAUUUUGGUUAUUCGGUGAGCAGACGGUCCUCGACAACUCUGUAGGAAGACAUCACAGUGCUGACACUCAAAUCCGACCCUUUAGGUCCACAGUACGAGUACCUUUCUAUUGUGCUAGGUUGUUUUCAUUCUAGCUUUCUAAAAAGCAGGGACUGACGGGAUGAUAUAAAAAAACAAACAACAGUGCUCUGGACCUUUCAGUUCCAGGUUUGAGUGUCAGCGCUGUAUGAAGUCGCCUUGAGUAGUCAAACAUUUUUACAAUGACUUGAUCCCACUCCAGAUAACAACAUGAUCAGCACACGUGAGCUGCUGCUGUGAAU